rfam:Prevotella intermedia 17 chromosome I, complete sequence.
AGACAGUGGAGCCAGAAACCAUAAAAAACGGGGCGUAUACGAAAAGCCAUACGAGUAGUAAACCU